CACCUCGUUUUUCUCCCGGUGGUCUCCAAACCACUGACAUUAAACAACAUGAGGACUCUCUCGACAUCACAAUGCAAUCCUUCCUUAUGCAACUUAAGGGAUCAUGCCCCAUCAAUCACCAAAACGACAAUGAAAGUUUUUGUUUCUAUUAUAAAGGCACGUUCUUACCCCAAAGAAUCUUUUUUUCCCACGCAUGCAAAGUAGAACACACAAACUACUUGUUUUGUUGCAUGCCUUUUAGACCCAUGCAGUUUAACUCUAAUGUUUUCAAAUGGUGUAAAUAAGAACUGUCUUGAAGAUUGGGGGCUUUGCCAGGGACUUUUCAGACUAUUCUCUCUCUUUUCCAUGUCUUUGAUUCCCUGAUCUCCAAAUAUUAUAAAUGCAAAUGACCAGAAA